rnacentral:tRNA from 2 species
GCGUCCGUAGCUCAGUUGGUUAGAGCACUACCUUGACAUGGUAGGGGUCGGUGAUUCGAAUUCACUCGGACGCACCA